rnacentral:rRNA from 1 species
GACGAACGCUGGCGGCGUGCCUAACACAUGCAAGUCGAACGGAAAGGCCCUGCGUUUGCUGCGUGCUCGAGUGGGGAACGGGUGAGUAACACACGAGUAACCCCCCCUUGACUUUGGGAUAACUCCUGGAAACUGGGGCUCAUACCGCAUAUGAUCUCCUGCUGCAUGGUGUUGAUUGGUAAGCUUCGGCGGUUGGGGAUAGUCUUGCUGGUUAUCAGCUUCUUGGUCGGGUAGGUGCUUACCAAGGCUUUGACGGGUAGCCGGCCUGAGAGGGUUAGCGGCGACAUCAGGCCUGAGCUACGGCCCAGACUAGUAUGGGACGCAACGGUGGAGAAUAUUGCACAACAGGCGGAAGCCUGAUGUGGAGACGCCGCGUGCGGGAUAACGGGAUUCGGGUUGUAAACAGAUUUGGAAUGAGACGAGCAGAUAGUGACGGUAAUGGGUAAAGAAGCAACGGCUAACUACGUG